AUGAUGGAAUCAAAGGUUAAACCUUUACCUAACACAACACCGGCUGCAGAACAGACAGGACUUCAGCCAGUACGGUUACAAGCGUUCAUGGGGAGGCUCUUGACCAAUUCCUUACUCAAGGCCUUUCCUCUGGAACAGGCAAUUCUUAAUUUUGUUGUAGCUGCAUUAAAACAAAAAAGGCAAAAGAAACAGCUGAGACCUACACCCCAGAUCAGGGAAACAAGAAAACGCAUCGCGUUCCAGUAAGCUCUUGAACAUCUCAGAAGAUGACUACCUCGCCAGGGUUCAGGCGGAAAGACGACUUGGUGCCUGGCAGCCCAGGUCUACGAGAAGAAGGGUCAAGUUGAGAACAGCAGAGGGACCAUUUUUGCCUUUAUCCUGUGACGUGACCACUAUUCCACGUAAGUAGCUGCCAUCGGGCCCAACGAGAAAAUACAUUUCACACCGUGUCUGACACAUAGUAACCACUCGCUCCAUGUUGGCUGGUGAGGAUCGUAUUCCCAAACGGUGAGGUCAAAGAAAUUAGCUGGGAUUUUCUUCUUAAUGAAAACUCUGAUAAGAUAAUCAUUGUCAGGUGGGGAGGCUUUGACUCCCUUGCUAACUGGGAUGAUUAACAUGUACUUGAUUACACCGGGACAAUGACAGUAUAUAGAUUUUCUUCCGUGCCAACCUCAAUGGUGUCGCGGUGGCCAUGACUUUUAGGAAAGAUUCUGAGGCCGAACGAAUCCAGGCUCAGGUUGAGGGGGUUGACUAAUUAAUUAAUCCUGUCCACUGCACACACCAGAGGAGAGGUCCGAGCAUGUGCAACCCCAAGACAGCCCUGUCCUUUGGAGUCCUCAGAACUCAUGGCUUUUAUUAAUCACAAAGCUCCAAGGAAGCGGAUUGUAAGGGUUACUUAGCUUCUUAAGCAGCAAGUGUCAGACUCGGCGCUUUCUGCUUUUGGGAGGUGAGAUGGGGGAAAAGUCCCCAGAGUGUGCCAGACGUAGAGAUAUUUCCCAGGCAGUACCUGGAUGCUGGAAAUGAGGAGAAAGGAGGAGGAGGAGAAUUUUGAGGAGAAAAAGCCCUCCACGACUUGCAGCCUCUACAAUCACUAAGAGCGCUAGUAUCCAAAAUACAGCAAAAAGACCGACAUCUCAGUGCAAAGAUGGGCAAAGCAUAUAACCUCUUAGACAAGAGCCAAUGGCCGAAAACGCAAAGUUGCUCGAUUUGCACCAGCUGCAUGUGACGUGUAAAAUAUAGCAGCAUC
rnacentral:lncRNA from 1 species